AUUGAACGCUGGCGGCAGGCUUAACACAUGCAAGUCGAGCGAGCGGCGGACGGGUGAGUAAUGUCUGGGGAACUGCCUGAUAGAGGGGGAUAACUACUGGAAACGGUAGCUAAUACCGCAUACUAUCGGAUGUGCCCAGAUGGGAUUAGCUAGUAGGUGGGGUAAAGGCUCACCUAGGCGACGAUCCCUCGCUGGUCUGAGAGGAUGACCAGCCACACUGGAACUGAGACACGGCCCAGACUCCGACGGGAGGCAGCAGUGGGGAAUAGUGCACAAUGGGCGCAAGCCUGAUGCAGCCAGGCCGAGUGUGUGAAGAAGGCCUUCGGGUUGUAAAGUACUUUCAGCGAGGAGGCGUUACCCGCAGAAGAAGCACCGGCUAACUCCGUGCCAGCAGCCGCGGUAAUAC
rnacentral:rRNA from 1 species